rnacentral:lncRNA from 1 species
AGACAGGCAGGGAGACACUCAUGAAGUCAGAGACAGACAAACAGCGGCAGAUGAAGCACAAGAAGAGAACCAGACCAAUGUGGAGAAGAGCCCGUUUGGCCAGGUGGUCUCCGCGCUGACCUGUCGGCUGACUCCACAAAAGGAAAUUUCACGGUGGCGUGUGUGCAUGUAGACAGGUCAAGGCGUGCUUUCGUGCAAGGCAGCCUGGAAUCAGCAGGAAGCUCUCCUGAACUCAUCCCUGUGCCUUGCCAGAUGGGCACUCUGCUGGGCAGGUCACUGCACCCACACUGUUCAACUUCUUCACAAGACCGCUGGCCAAAAGGAAGGAUCCAAGAACAAGCCUGGUGACAUCCAUUUCUCGGUCACUUCACAGAACAGCCGUGGACCCCAAAACAUAAAACCCCUUUCUAAGUCUGCAGGAAACCUGGAAGGGCACUGACAGCCUUCCGUGACUGCAGGCUCUGCCCUGAUGGAAAGUGGGAGGCAGCCUGGUGAAGUGAGCCCUCCUGCCGGGUACUGGGCAGGGCUCCAGGGGGCCACGGAAUUGCGAGGAUCUGGAUCUGGCUUCUGAGUCUGACUUACCCUGACCUGCAUGGGCUAUACUCAACCAACCCCAGUCUCUGGACCCACAAGCCCUUCUUACGUUCCGCCUUUGUACCUGCUCUGUCCCCUGACCUGAUUUUUUCCCUAUUCAAAAAAAAAAAAAAAAAAAAAGCGGCAGAGCCUGUGGUUUGGGGUGUGGCAGCUCUCACUGGCACUGCUCUCCUGGACUCUUGAUAUACUAACACAUGUACAGGCAGUUGUCCUCCUAGUCCUGGUGCACAAACGAGCGUACCUCACCCCUUAGGAAUCCUACAGCAGCAGAGAAACGGUGGUGGGUAGGAAAGGAUGGGUGAGGAUUGAGAGAGAGGAUAUGAAUAUCUGUAUCUGACUAUCACUGGAGAUGCAGAACUACUGACAAUGUUUUAAAAAAAGCAUCAUGGAUUUAGAUGCCAAGUUCACUACUUGCUAGGUGUGUGUGUAAUUUAACUUCUUUAGCUAUGUGUGCAAAUUAACUUCUUUAAAGUAUUGCCGUUCUUGAUCACAAAAUGGGGAUAAUCAUCCUAUCUUCCUCAUAAGACUGGAAGAAAUAAGAUGAGAUGCUGUAUGCAAUCCUGGUACUUUGCACAGUGCCCACCACAAAGUCAGCCCAUGGUGACUGGGGGCUCUAGUUUCCUGCAAUGGUCCUUUCAUGUUUCUGAGACUAACAGUUUUCCUCUAGGAGCAAGGAGAAUUGCUUCCUCUUUCCCUAAUAUCAUGCUUAGGCAUUCAUUCAUCCAUUUAUCCUACCAAUAUCCAUCAGCUUCCACUCUGUGCCAGGCCCUGGGCCAGGCAUUAGGGGUCCAGAGGAUGAUAAGACACCAUCUAGCAAGACCCCUUGAAACUUUCCUGACUCUCCUCUUCUGACUCAGCUGCCCGACCCCCAAUAACCCCCUCUAGCAAAUGAAAGUCAUUUUUUGAAUUCCCACAGCAGCCUCUUGCACACACCUCUGUACAGCCCUCAUCCCACCAUUUUAUAAUCACCAAUGUGCCUUUCUGUCUCUUGACCACAUUAAUUUAAAUAAAUCUC